rnacentral:lncRNA from 1 species
AUAUUUACAAUGCUGAAUAAAUAGAAAACAAGUUGAUUUGAAGAUUUGAGAAAUAGCAAAACGUUUAGUUUUUUUUGUCUCAGUUCCAGCCUUACCUGAAGCUCAUCUACAACCCCUCAGCUACCAAUAAAAUCUCAUUUGAAUAUGGGAUAACAACACUUCUCCCAUCGUUCAUGAAGGCUGAAGAGACAAAGACUUGGGAAGAGGAAGGAAAAUAAUAUGGUGGAUACAAGGGAGAAGAAACCCAAGCCUUGCAUCUGGAUUGGAAUGAGAUUACAUUUUUGACAUAUUUUCAUAUCUAUCUGGAGUACAUUCAACUUUACAGAUUACAUUUGGAUAUUUAGGUGCUAAAUGUUUUCCUAAAUACUA